GGUAGAUGGUGUGAGCGCCUGACAGGGUACAUCAGGCUCCUGGAGGUGGAGAUGCUUUGCUAUCAGCAGGCAGCGUUUUCACCUGCUCCUCGAUGUCCAUGUUCCUUCACCAGAGAAGGGAUUUCCAGCUGCUCGGCCUGGAAUAAAGAAAUGGGAAGAGACGUGGCCCAGAGCGCCGGCUUUAAUCUUACAAGUUCAACUCCAGCACAUGAAACUGAAUGAAGUCGCCCCCUGCUGGACAACUCUGGCUGAAGGCUGGAGGUGGAGAGCAGAAUUCAUGAUUCAAUCAACAGCAAAGUCGCCCCAGACCAUCACACUGCCACCACCAGACAUAACUAGGCGGAGAGGGAGGGGAGCCGCUCUCUAAUCAAAGCGAAGGUCUUCCUCUGAAUCUUCCUGCUCUUUCAGCCUCAUUUCCAUCCCUUCCCUGAAGGAAACGCGUGGCAGUCCAAGUCCGACCUUCAACCCUCCACCCCGGACAGCUGAUGUGGAAAUAAUGGCGCCGACGCAGACAUAAAGCGGCAGACAGGCAAGGUCGCCCGAGUCAUCAAGACUGGGAGGCAUUGAAGCACAACAAACGGUUCCGGAUUAAGACACUAGAGAAGAAGUCACAGACAGUCCAAGGCCUGGUUAAGGGUUUUCCAGACUGCAUAGGAACAGUAGCUAGUCACCAAUCAGCAGCAGCCCUGCAUCUCCMUGGCAACAGAACUCAUCAUCUGCCAGUGGAACAGCCUGGUAGGGUCUUCAUCAUUUCUAUGUGUUUAUCUGUGUUCCAACAUAGUUUAUUAUUGGAAGUUCAGCAUAACAGUAAUUAUAUGAUUCCAAUAAAUAACUUUAARAGAAAGUGAACAUGGAAGAAAUGCACUUAGCUUAAUUUUCUUGUGUCACAAG